GACGAACGCUGGCGGCGUGCUUCAUACAUGCAAGUCGAACGAGAAGCUGACUUCGGUCAGUGGAAAGUGGCGGACGGGUGAGUAAUAUGUAGGAAAUCUGCCUUUAGGAGGGGGACAACAGAGGGAAACUUCUGCUAAUACCCCAUAUGAGCGUAGCUGAAAUGCUAUUCUUGAAAACUCCGGUGCCUAAAGAUGAGCCUGCAUCUGAUUAGCUAGUUGGUAGUGUAAUGGACUACCAAGGCGACGAUCAGUAGCUGGUUUGAGAGGAUGAUCAGCCACAAUGGGACUGAGACACGGCCCAUACUCCUACGGGAGGCAGCAGUAGGGAAUUUUGCGCAGUGGGCGAAAGCCUGACGCAGCAACGCCGCGUGAACGAUUAAGCCCUUCGGGGUGUAAAGUUCUGUCAGUGGGGACGAAACUUGACGGUACCCACAGAGGAAGCACCGGCUAACUCCGUG
rnacentral:rRNA from 1 species